GAUGAACGCUCGCUACAGGCUUAACACAUGCAAGUCGCGGGGCAGCAUGGGGGUUGCUUGCCAUCCCCGAUGGCGACCGGCGCACGGGUGAGUAACGCGUAUCCAACCUGCCCUUCACCACGGGAUAACCCGGCGAAAGUCGGACUAAUACCGUAUGUUGUCCAUUGACGGCAUCCGAUUUGGACGAAAGGCUUGGCGGUGAGGGAUGGGGAUGCGUCCGAUUAGCCAGACGGCGGGGUAACGGCCCACCGUGGCUACGAUCGGUAGGGGUUCUGAGAGGAAGGUCCCCCACACUGGAACUGAGACACGGUCCAGACUCCUACGGGAGGCAGCAGUGAGGAAUAUUGGUCAAUGGGCGUAAGCCUGAACCAGCCAAGUAGCGUGCAGGAUGACGGCCCUAUGGGUGGUAAACUGCUUUUAUGCGGGGAUAAAGUGGCCCACGUGUGGGCUUUUGCAGGUACCGCAUGAAUAAGGACCGGCUAAUUCCGUG
rnacentral:rRNA from 1 species